GACGAACGCUGGCGGCGUGCUUAACACAUGCAAGUCGUACGGUAAGGCCCUUUCGGGGGUACACGAGUGGCGAACGGGUGAGUAACACGUGAGUAACCUGCCCACAACUUUGGGAUAACGCUAGGAAACUGGUGCUAAUACUGGAUAUGUGCUCCUGCUGCAUGGUGGGGGUUGGAAAGCUCCGGCGGUUGUGGAUGGAAUCGCGGCCUAUCAGCUUGUUGGUGGGGUAGUGGCCUACCAAGGCGGCGACGGGUAGCCGGCCUGAGAGGGUGACCGGCCACAUUGGGACUGAGAUACGGCCCAGGCUCCUACGGGAGGCAGCAGUGGGGAAGAUUGCACAAUGGGCGCAAGCCUGAUGCAGCAGCGCCUCGUGCGGGAUGACGGCCUUCGGGUUGUAAACCGCUUUCAGCAGGGACGAAGCUUUUUGUGACGGUACCUGCAGAAGAAGCACCGGCUAACUACGUG
rnacentral:rRNA from 1 species